GGAUGCGAUCAUACCAGCACUAAUGCACCGGAUCCCAUCAGAACUCCGCAGUUAAGCGUGCUUGGGCGAGAGUAGUACUAGGAUGGGUGACUUCGAAGUCUCGUGGUUGCACCCU